GCCCUUGUAGCUCAGUUGGUAGAGCAUCUGAUUUGUAAUCAGAGGGUCGCGGGUUCGAAUCCUGCCGGGGGCACCA
rnacentral:tRNA from 9 species